rnacentral:lncRNA from 1 species
GGGGAACGAAAGGUGAAAGGAACCAACUAGCCGCACUGUUCCUAAGGUAUAGCUGCAUUUGAAAAUACCCUUGGUGUUUUCAUCAACCACUUCACUACCCUUCUACUAUAAGAAUUGUGAUUUUUCAACUUAAAUUUUCAAAAAAUAAGAAUAGUCAGCAGAUUUGUUGAUAAUUUUUUUGGAAUUUAAAAUUCUAAAAAUAGAUAUCAAGUUUGAUUAGGACUCUUAAAAUAUAACUUUUUUUUUAGUUGUUCAGCACCAAUGCACAUUGUA